CUCCGACGAAAAAACAGCCUGGCAGCAAAUUCAGAAGAAUUUCACUCUGAAACAGAAAAAUCAUUGAAUUUGUCAGAGAACAUUUCGGUUCUUGGCGUUAUUGCCAUGGAUGUGUGGGUGAGUAAAUGUACAUUUGUGAUACCUAUGCUUUAUUUUUUGACCCACUUUUUAAUUAUCUGUGCUCUAAAACAAUCCGGUUUCUGUUAUUCAAACAUUUAUGUAAAACAUGUACGAAAAGAGAGAGAGAGAGAGAGAGAGAGAGAGCAAGUGAGCGACAGAGCGAAGAAACUAAAGAUGAAGUUCAUCUGCCAACUCAAAGUCCUCUCUGGAGACUUACCGCAGAAGGGUUUGCCAUCAGAAUCUGAAAAAAGUCGAUUUGUGGUCGAAAAUUUCAGAGUUUAAGUCGACCAGGAAUUUCUUUGAUUGAUUGCAGCAUCAGUAUUUGUUCGCUCCACCAGCUGGGAUCAGAAAAGAAACGGUUUAGUCUUCAUACCUGGAGGACCUGAUAUUCAUAUGCUGAUAGACAGAGAUGUCUUUAUGUGGAGGUGACAACAUCUGCUGGUUUUAAUCAAACUGUGACUCUGCAGUCUGUGCUGAGAUGUUGAGGUGAACCUCCGGGAAACUGAACCUGGUGUCUAUAUGGUUAGAGGUUCUACUUUGCUUCUCUUUCAGGAUUCUUCCAUGGAGAGGAACUUCCCCGCUGGUGACUUCUGUGUUCUCACCUGAGCGAGCUCCACUCUCCUCUCUGCCAGCUCCUCUUCACGCCCC